ensembl:snoRNA SNORD115 Small nucleolar RNA SNORD115
AGGUUGAUGAUAAGAACUCACAUUGAUAUGAAGAAAGAUGAUGACUUAAAAAUCAUGCUCAAUAGGAUUACACUGAGGCCU